rnacentral:rRNA from 1 species
GAUGAACGCUGGCGGCGUGCCUAAUACAUGCAAGUCGAGCGAACGGACGAGAAGCUUGCUUCUCUGAUGUUAGCGGCGGACGGGUGAGUAACACGUGGAUAACCUACCUAUAAGACUGGGAUAACUUCGGGAAACCGGAGCUAAUACCGGAUGAUAUUUUGAACCGCAUGGUUCAAAAGUGAAAGACGGUCUUGCUGGCACUUAUAGAUGGAUCCGCGCUGCAUUAGCUAGUUGUUAAGGUAACGGCUUACCAAGGCAACGAUGCAUAGCCGACCUGAGAGGGUGAUCGGCCACACUGGAACUGAGCCACGGUCCAGAAUCCUAAGGGAGGCAGCAGUAGGGAAUCUUCCGCAAUGGGCGAAAGCCUGACGGAGCAACGCCGCGUGAGUGAUGAAGGUCUUCGGAUCGUAAAACUCUGUUAUUAGGGAAGAACAUAUGUGUAAGUAACUGUGCACAUCUUGACGGUACCUAAUCAGAAAGCCACGGCUAACUACGUG